UUUCCGUAGGUGAACCUGCGGAAGGAUCAUUACAGUGUUCUCUGCCCUCACGGGUAGAAACGCCCACCCUUGUGUAUUAUAUCUUUGUUGCUUUGGCAGGCCGCCCUCGGGCACCGGCUCCGGCUGGAUCGCGCCUGCCAGAGGAAACCCAAACUCUGAAUGUUAGUGUCGUCUGAGUACUAUCUAAUAGUUGAAACUUUCAACAACGGAUCUCUUGGUUCUG
rnacentral:misc_RNA from 1 species